AAAGGUGUCACUAAUCAGGCUCAGUGGAAUCGGAAGCCUUAAACAAGGAGACUCGUUAAAUCUGACGUGUGAUGUGAACUGCACACAAAGUUCCUCACAGUUUGUGUGGUCUAAGAACAACGAGCGCUUAAAUACAUCAGGACCCGUUCUUCACUUUCCUGCUGUAACCGUGAGGGAUUCUGGGAGUUACACCUGCACUUGGAAAACCAGCAUGACGUCAGGAUCUGAAACGAUCAGCCUUCUCGUCGAGGGUGAAAACCCUGAAAGAGAUGAAAUUCUUUCAUGGCCGUUCUGGAUCAUUGCUUUGGUGGCAGCUGGACUGAUUUUGGUAGUUGUGAUGUACAACAGGAGGUGCGUCCACACUGAUCAGCUGAAGGAGGACGAUUCAGACAUCUACACCACAGUACAGUACAGUACAUUCACCAUGAACUGAUCACACUUUCACACCUCAGUUACAGUUCAAAUUUUAAUUUUUCAUUUUAAACAGGUUUAAAGUGCUGAUCCUGGAGACUCCUUUCAUAAAUGUUAUAUAAACACUUCCUCACGAAAACCUUCAUCAUAUCAUCAAUAUAUCAAUUAUAUCAUAUCAAUUUUAAGAAUUUGUUUUUAGGAUUCGACAGGGCUGUGGUGUAAGAUUUGUUUUUAUUGUGCUACUGAUACUGAGCUUCAGGUUUUUAUCACUUACUGCUUUAAACAAUCUUUACAUCUUUGAGUUACUGUUAUAACGUAAUAGUUUCCUGCUUUUUUGCUUAUUGUUGUAUAGAAUAACUUGUUGAUAAGAGGUAUUGAAUGAAUUUGUGAUGAUGCAUGAAUGAUGUAAACCAUGUUUUUUUAAACCGUGGCUAUAUCAUGUAACAUUUCUUAGUCAGCAAUAUUUCACAACAGAAACUGGAGGGAAACAGCAGGCGUGAUGUUACUGAUUAUUACUGAUUCAAGAACUUCAUUAUCAAAUGUAUAAACCUUCCUUGUACAAUGAAAUUCUUAGUUUGUAUGCUUUCACAGAUGCUGCAGUGAAAAAAGUUAAAUAGUAACAAAUAAAACAACAGAAUUGUUUAGACGUUGUUCAAAGUAAGCUGGAACAAAAUCAAAAUAUGACCUAAAAUUUGGAAUUAUAAGAAUUAUUCAACAUAAAUAACAGUGGAAGCAAAUAAACCUAUAUAAAGUAAACUCUUGGUUAUAUUUACAUGAGGUUUU